rnacentral:lncRNA from 1 species
CUCCUGAUAUGGGCUUUCCUAACUGUGCAUCUGCUUACUUCCCGCAGACCUGUCCUUGGCUUGUGCAGGGUAAGUAAAGCCUCUCAAGAACUCCCAUUUUUCAUUUCUAUUUCCUCUCUUUUAGCUUCCCUCACUCAACUCUAGAGAUACUGGACUUAAGGAAAUGUCCCCAUAGAACGCUGAGCCUUUCACCUCCUCUUUGCUCGUCUCACGGCUUUGUUAGACACGAAACCAUCUUCUGGAAAAUGUCUUCCCUGACACCUCUCCUACUUUUCUGAGUUUGGGUUGCUUUCCUCCUAGCACUCACGGAGAUCCAGGCACAAAAUUGCCUUGUAUUCAAGUUCCAAGUACCAACCAGCCUUCCACGUGUUGUUGUUUCAAAGAUAACUCUAUUUGCAAAGCCUUUACGCCACUGUUCAGAGAUUUCCGGAGUGUGUGCAACUUCAGUGAGGACUGGAAAGUGGGCCAUUGCGCAGUUCAGCUCUCAGGCUCUUUGUAGGUCUUUUACCAGUGAAGCAUUCAAGAUGGCUGGUACUUCCUCGUUUUCUUCGACAGGUGACUAAUGAAGCCGUUCUCCACGUUGUACUGUAUGGACAUGCGGCCCCAAGUGACAACAUCGAUCCCACUACCUCUCACAUGCUAAGCGAGUAC